AAGACUAUACUUUCAGGAAUCAUUUCUAUAGUUUGUUAAUAACCCCAUCGAUUUGAUCUGGGGCCCAUAAUCAGCAUAGGAGUCUAUGUAACCUCUACAUCCCUGUAGGUCCAAACUCGAAUUCUGUGGUCCAUGAAUAGGAGCAUUCUGAGUUGU
rfam:Erinaceus europaeus unplaced genomic scaffold scaffold00029, whole genome shotgun sequence